AUGGAUGGGGGUGUUUGGCCUAGCUUUUAAAAAGUAUUUUUGGGUUGAAAAAUGAUUUUCGGCUCAAUAGAGCGUUUGGCAAUCUCAUUUUUAAAAUCUGAUUCUAUUUGUCAGAAUCAGAAAUGUCACGUCCCGAAUUCCUCGUUUUCCUAGGCACACUAACAGACCCGCCGUAUACAUAGGAAUUUUUUCUGUAUACGAAGCGAAGCUGUUCAUGUACCUGUAAUCAUACAACACUACAACCAGUAGUAUAGAACUGCUAGAAAGGAAUAAACCAUAAUUAAAAACAGAAGUUCACUAUACAUGCAUAGUAUCCGGCCAGGUACAAAAAAUUACUCGCACCAGCGAGUUGUAAUAUCUAUAUGUACAAGAACUCCAACAAGACCGAUACUACCUGAAGUGGGUGCGUCUCUAGCUCAGCAACAACCCGGAAAGGAUCUAACUCGCGACUUCCUUUCCGCGGUUUGUCUCCGCCACAGCAGCAGCCGACGAAGAAGGCUCUGCGAAAAGAGGGAUAACAACUGGGCGUGAGAACUACUGCAAAAACAAA
rnacentral:lncRNA from 1 species